rnacentral:lncRNA from 10 species
UUUUUAGUAGAGAUGGAGUUUCACCAUGUUAGCCAGGCUGGUCUUGAACUCCUGACUUCAGGUGAUCCACCCGCCUCAGCCUCCCAAAGUGCUGGGAUUACAGGCGUUUGGGGUGAGCCUUUCUUAGGAGCUCCAUUAGCCAACAGCCAAGAUACCUCAUUUUGCACUCACUUCACUUGUGACCAAAGUGUCUUAGGACCAAAAGGGAUUUGGGACUUUGUUGAACUGUUUAUAUAAAAAAAACCUGGCUGGGCACAAUGGCUCAAGCCUGUAAUCUCAGUACUUUGAGAGGCCGAGGUGGGUGGAUCACUUGAGCCCGGGAGUUCAAGACCAACGUGGGCAGCAUGGCGAAACCCCAUCUCUACAAAAAAUACAAAAAAAAAAAAAAAUAGCCAGGUGUUGUAGUGUACACUUGUAGUCCCGGCAACUUGGGAGGCUGAGGUGGGAGGAUCAUUUGAACCUGGGAGGUUGAGGCUGCAGUGAGCCGUGAUUGCACCUCUGCACUCCAGCCUGGGCAACAGAGUAAGACCCUGUCUCAAAGAAAAAAAAAAGAAGAAGAAGAAU